rnacentral:rRNA from 1 species
AAUCCUCUCUCAGUUCGGAUUGGAGUCUGCAACCCGACUCCAUGAAGCUGGAUUCGCUAGUAAUCGCGCAUCAGCCACGGCGCGGUGAAUACGUUCCCGGGCCUUGUACACACCGCCCGUCAAGCCAUGAAAGCCGGGGGUACCUGAAGUGCGUAACCGCGAGGAGCGCCCUAGGGUAAAACUGGUGAUUGGGGCUAAGUCGUAACAAGGUACC